GACGAACCGUGCGAACGUUAUUCGGAAUCACUGGGCUCAAAGCGCGUGUAGGUGGGGCGGCACGUCGGUCGCUGAAAUCCCCCGGCUUAACCGGGGAACGGGCGCCGAUACGACCGCCCUUGAGGGGCGUAGGGGGGGCUGGAACUUCCGGUGGAGCGGUGAAAUGCGUUGAGAUCGGAAGGAACGCCCGUGGCGAAAGCGAGCCCCUGGACGUCAUCUGACACUGAGACGCGAAAGCCAGGGGAGCGAACGGG
rnacentral:rRNA from 1 species